rnacentral:sRNA from 2 species
ACCUGACCGAUAACUAUGCUGAUACCGACAAGCACUACCCAACUGAUUCCUGGGAGGACGUGGGAAACAACGUCUAUGGCUGUGUCAAGCAACUUUUCUUGCUCAAAAAGCAGAAUCGAAAUCUGAAGGUCCUACUUUCCAUUGGUGGAUGGACCUAUUCUUCCAAUUUCCCCGGGGCCGCGAGUACAGCAGCUAACAGGGCCCACUUUGCGGACACUGCCACGAAGUUGAUGCUUGAUAUGGGAUUUGAUGGACUUGACAUUGAUUGGGAAUAUCCCAAUGAUGACGAGGAAGCGAAAAACUUCGUAGAGCUUCUUAAAGUUACGAGAG